CUCGAUGAGUAGGGCGGGACACGUGGUAUCCUGUCUGAAUAUGGGGGGACCAUCCUCCAAGGCUAAAUACUCCUGACUGACCGAUAGUGAACCAGUACCGUGAGGGAAAGGCGAAAAGAACCCCGGCGAGGGGAGUGAAAAAGAACCUGAAACCGUGUACGUACAAGCAGUGGGAGCCUCUUAAUGGGGUGACUGCGUACCUUUUGUAUAAUGGGUCAGCGACUUAUAUUCUGUAGCAAGGUUAACCGAAUAGGGGAGCCGAAGGGAAACCGAGUCUUAACUGGGCGUUAAGUUGCAGGGUAUAGACCCGAAACCCGGUGAUCUAGCCAUGGGCAGGUUGAAGGUUGGGUAACACUAACUGGAGGACCGAACCGACUAAUGUUGAAAAAUUAGCGGAUGACUUGUGGCUGGGGGUGAAAGGCCAAUCAAACCGGGAGAUAGCUGGUUCUCCCCGAAAGCUAUUUAGGUAGCGCCUCGUGAAUUCAUCUCCGGGGGUAGAGCACUGUUUCGGCAAGGGGGUCAUCCCGACUUACCAACCCGAUGCAAACUGCGAAUACCGGAGAAUGUUAUCACGGGAGACACACGGCGGGUGCUAACGUCCGUCGUGAAGAGGGAAACAACCCAGACCGCCAGCUAAGGUCCCAAAGUCAUGGUUAAGUGGGAAACGAUGUGGGAAGGCCCAGACAGCCAGGAUGUUGGCUUAGAAGCAGCCAUCAUUUAAAGAAAGCGUAAUAGCUCACUGGUCGAGUCGGCCUGCGCGGAAGAUGUAACGGGGCUAAACCAUGCACCGAAGCUGCGGCAGCGACGCUUAUGCGUUGUUGGGUAGGGGAGCGUUCUGUAAGCCUGUGAAGGUGUGCUGUGAGGCAUGCUGGAGGUAUCAGAAGUGCGAAUGCUGACAUAAGUAACGAUAAAGCGGGUGAAAAGCCCGCUCGCCGGAAGACCAAGGGUUCCUGUCCAACGUUAAUCGGGGCAGGGUGAGUCGACCCCUAAGGCGAGGCCGAAAGGCGUAGUCGAUGGGAAACAGGUUAAUAUUCCUGUACUUGGUGUUACUGCGAAGGGGGGACGGAGAAGGCUAUGUUGGCCGGGCGACGGUUGUCCCGGUUUAAGCGUGUAGGCUGGUUUUCCAGGCAAAUCCGGAAAACCAAGGCUGAGGCGUGAUGACGAGGCACUACGGUGCUGAAGCGACAAAUGCCCUGCUUCCAGGAAAAGCCUCUAAGCAUCAGGUAACAUCAAAUCGUACCCCAAACCGACACAGGUGGUCAGGUAGAGAAUACCAAGGCGCUUGAGAGAACUCGGGUGAAGGAACUAGGCAAAAUGGUGCCGUAACUUCGGGAGAAGGCACGCUGAUAUGUAGGUGAAGCGACUUGCUCGUGGAGCUGAAAUCAGUCGAAGAUACCAGCUGGCUGCAACUGUUUAUUAAAAACACAGCACUGUGCAAACACGAAAGUGGACGUAUACGGUGUGACGCCUGCCCGGUGCCGGAAGGUUAAUUGAUGGGGUUAGCGGCAACGCGAAGCUCUUGAUCGAAGCCCCGGUAAACGGCGGCCGUAACUAUAACGGUCCUAAGGUAGCGAAAUUCCUUGUCGGGUAAGUUCCGACCUGCACGAAUGGCGUAAUGAUGGCCAGGCUGUCUCCACCCGAGACUCAGUGAAAUUGAACUCGCUGUGAAGAUGCAGUGUACCCGCGGCAAGACGGAAAGACCCCGUGAACCUUUACUAUAGCUUGACACUGAACAUUGAGCCUUGAUGUGUAGGAUAGGUGGGAGGCUUUGAAGUGUGGACGCCAGUCUGCAUGGAGCCGACCUUGAAAUACCACCCUUUAAUGUUUGAUGUUCUAACGUUGGCCCGUAAUCCGGGUUGCGGACAGUGUCUGGUGGGUAGUUUGACUGGGGCGGUCUCCUCCUAAAGAGUAACGGAGGAGCACGAAGGUUGGCUAAUCCUGGUCGGACAUCAGGAGGUUAGUGCAAUGGCAUAAGCCAGCUUGACUGCGAGCGUGACGGCGCGAGCAGGUGCGAAAGCAGGUCAUAGUGAUCCGGUGGUUCUGAAUGGAAGGGCCAUCGCUCAACGGAUAAAAGGUACUCCGGGGAUAACAGGCUGAUACCGCCCAAGAGUUCAUAUCGACGGCGGUGUUUGGCACCUCGAUGUCGGCUCAUCACAUCCUGGGGCUGAAGUAGGUCCCAAGGGUAUGGCUGUUCGCCAUUUAAAGUGGUACGCGAGCUGGGUUUAGAACGUCGUGAGACAGUUCGGUCCCUAUCUGCCGUGGGCGCUGGAGAACUGAGGGGGGCUGCUCCUAGUACGAGAGGACCGGAGUGGACGCAUCACUGGUGUUCGGGUUGUCAUGCCAAUGGCACUGCCCGGUAGCUAAAUGCGGAAGAGAUAAGUGCUGAAAGCAUCUAAGCACGAAACUUGCCCCGAGAUGAGUUCUCCCUGAGACUUAGAGUCUCCUGAAGGAACGUUGAAGACGACGACGUUGAUAGGCCGGGUGUGUAAGCGCAGCGAUGCGUUGAGCUAACCGGUACUAAUGAACCGUGAGGCUUAACCUU
rnacentral:rRNA from 1 species